CAAAGGAGAGAUCCGGUACCGGCUGGGCACGCGGCGCAUUAGCUAGUUGGCGGGGCAACGGCCCACCAAGGCGACGAUGCGUAGGGGUUCUGAGAGGAAGGUCCCCCACACUGGAACUGAGACACGGUCCAGACUCCUACGGGAGGCAGCAGUGAGGAAUAUUGGUCAAUGGGCGCAAGCCUGAACCAGCCAAGUCGCGUGAGGGAAGACGGCCCUACGGGUUGUAAACCUCCUUUGCCGGGGAGCAAGCCUGAGCACGUGUGCCCAGGCGGAGAGUACCCGGAGAAAAAGCAUCGGCUAACUCCGUGCCAGCAGCCGCGGUAAUACGGAGGAUGCGAGCGUUAUCCGGAUUUAUUGGGUUUAAAGGGUGCGCAGGCGGGCUGUUAAGCCGGCGGUAAAAAUUCAGGGCUCAACCCUGUCGAGCCGUCGGAACUGGCAGUCUUGAGUGGGCGAGAAGUAUGCGGAAUGCGUGGUGUAGCGGUGAAAUGCAUAGAUAUCACGCAGAACGCCGAUUGCGAAGGCAGCAUACCGGCGCCCAACUGACGCUGAGGCACGAAAGCGUGGGGAUCGAACAGGAUUAGAUACCCUGGUAGUCCACGCAGUAAACGAUGAGCGCUAACUGUCCGGAGCGAGCGAGCUCUGG
rnacentral:rRNA from 1 species